CAAAACAUCAUCACAAACAAUAACAACAAUAACAAUGAUUAUGACACACAAUCAGGAGGAAGAGGAAGUGUCUUCGAACAAUCAUUUUUGACACAUAACACGGAACAGGGAGAUAUGAACCUUCCUCAACAAGAACGGUUUCAAGUUCCUACGAUGGUGUCAAAUUUGUUCAGCAAUUCUACCAAUUCAAAUACCGAGACAGUUACAAGUUACAAACUACCGGCGUUGGUCGGGGGAAAUGUUAAUAACAUCUCCCAAGUUGACAAUAAUAAUGCUCAAGAUGGAGAUAUAGCGUCCACAUUUGAAUGUUUAAGGAAGCAAGAACUAAACUAUGAUGAAUGGAUAAAUUCACAACAGUGCUCUAAUUUUUUCUUCUGGGACAACCUUAACAUUAACGUGGGAGGUUCAUCUCUUGUCGGAAAUCAAGAUCCAUCAAUGACCUUGGGAUCCUCUGCCUUAUCUUCUUCUUUUCCUUCUUCGUUUUAAAUUAAUGAAUCAAUCACAUGAGAGGAACUCAUGCUAAUUUGUCUAUAUAUAAGUUUGUUUCUUUUGUUUUUUUAUUAGAGGUUGUUUUCGGACGAUAUUUACUUUCAAGCUGAUGUUGUAAUGAGUGUUCUAAAUUGUUGAUAAGGAUAUGGUGUGAAUAUAUGUUUGUGUUGUUUUCUAGCUCAUGGUUUUUCUUUUAUCCCUAAACUUAUGUAAUAAAGGACGAAGUAACCUUUCCACUAUAAAUAGUGACACUUUCUCAUUCUCUUUGUAACAAGAAACAUCUAGGGGAAUAUCUCCAAAUGAGUCUCAAAUUAGGAAAAUGCCCUUGCUUAAGUUUAGAGAGGAAUUAUCAAUAUUUUUAGGUUAAGGAUGACGAUUAAUCCCUUCGUGAAGAGAGAAGAAUUGGUAAAGUACGACGAUAUGACAAAGGGAAAGAUGUGGAAGAGGAUUUCGUACGCUUUGUUGCUGAGGUAGGUCUGCAAAUAGGAACAAUGUAGGAUAGAUUUAAACCUCAUAAUUCUUAUCCUCAUCACAUUUUUCAAUGAAGUACUAGUUGUUUUGACCGCUAAUUAUGUAACAGAUAGUCAGAAUGAUAGUAUCUAACAUAUUUAAUACUUCCUCUGUUUUUUAAUAUAAGUCGUUUUACAGAAAUUUUUAUGUUCUAAAUUAUAUGACGUUUUUCAGUUUUUUAUGUAAAAUUUAUUAACAUUUAAUGUUAUAUGACCAGUGAUAGUAUACCUUCUAUUUUAUUAUUGGUUGAUUUGUGGUUAGAUAAAUAAUUAAUGAUGUUUUUGGUUUAAAAAAAUAAAAAAUUAAUAAUUUCUUAAUUUACGUGCACAAUUCUAAAACGAUUUAUAUUAAAAAACGGAGGGAAUCAUAAAUAACACUUUUUAUUAGCAUUUAUAUUAAAUAUUAUCUUUUAAGUGGUAUAUUCUUUUUCGGUCUUCAUCAUCCCAAACUUCUUUUCAAAUCCAUAUUUGCCAGUCUCUUAUGUACUUGAAAAUGGAUGAGAGUAAAAUGAAAAUCAAUCAAUAUUAUUUCAAACUCACUCAUAACGCUUCAGAUGAGAAGAGAGAUGUAGAGUUGGAGAACCUAGAACCUCAGAGGAGAUAAAGCUGAGAGAUGCAGAACCUAUGAGAUAAGAGGAGAAAGAAUUAGAGUUUAGGACAGUGGGAAAAUAUUAGAAAGAGAGAUGGUGUUAAAAGGCUGAGGGCAUAGUUCUAACUAUUGCCACAUAUGGAUACAUAGACGCCAAUUUUCUCUUGUAACAUUUACAAAAAAUAAUAAGAAACUAAUCAUUUCUUCUUUCACAUUAUUUCCUUCCACCAUAAACAACAGAAUAUAAUAAUAGUAUAAAAAAUUAUAGUUAUACAUCCAUAUAUAUGCGUUCCCAAAAAAACACAUCCACCAUAUAUAUAUAUAUAUAUAUAUAUAUAUUUAUACUAGGGUCGGUCUGGAUUACGUCCGGAGUUUUUGUUUAAAUUCAAAUGUUGAUUAUAUAUAUAGUAUGUUUAUUUUAUUUAUAAAUAUUAUAAUUUAUUAUAAAAAUAUAAGUAGCCAAACAAUUAUAAAAUCAUUUUAAAUUAUUCAUAUUUAUAUAUAUAUAUCAUGUACUAAAUUGUUUUAAUAAUUAUGAGAAAUUCUCUUAUAUAGUCAUUUUUAGUUUAUUUUCACAAAAAUAGACUUUAAUGAAGAAAAUGACUAAAAUAAAUUUUAUUAAAAGGUAAAUAUGCACUUAUAUCCAAAGAUUAACUAAUCUAGAUUUAGUGUUUAGAGUUAAGGAGUGAGGUGGAGUGCGGUUUUGGGGAUAUGUUUUAAAUUAAAAAAAAAACAAAAAAAUAUAUAUUAAAAUUUUCAAAAUAAAAAAAAAAUUUAUUUUGGUCAUUUUAUUUUUUGAGUGCUAUUUUUGUAACAAAAACAUAAAAAAUAAUAUUUGAGAGAAUUAUCCUUGUAUUAUUAUGCAUAUCACAUAUUUAAAUUAUUUUUAUACUUUUUGAUGAUUGAUACCAGUUUUUAAUAAUAAGCUUGUUGGGUUUGGGAUACAAGCUAAAUUAUAAUAUAUUUUAUUAUUAUAUAAUCAGUUUGUAUAAAUGUAUAAAUUUAUUAGUAUUAAUAAGUUUAGACACGGUUCUAAGCAACGACCAGCCUACGGUUGAUGACUAAAGAUUUAUUAGCGUGUAGUUUCAUUCAUCUUGUUAUUUUGUCUACUUGCUUGAGCUACAUAGUAGUGUACAUUUCAAGUCACUUAAUCGAACAUUCUCAAAAUGUACGUAGUCCACCAGACGUACACACACAUGUAUGCAUUAUUAGGAAAAAGAAAAAUGUACACACGGACACGUGCGUAUAUACUCAUCUAUCAUGUAUGUGCUUAAUUGCUUAAUGUUUCUCUCAUUACUUUUGUACAUCAUUUUUCAGGUGGGCUCAUAUCGCAAGUCAUUUACCUGGAAGAACAGAUAACGAGAUAAAAAAUUAUUGGAAUUCAUGGAUCAAGAAAAAGAUACGAAAACCGCACCACCACUAUUAUCGUCAUCAACCAUCUAAAACUACCGUGACAUUGAACGUGGAAGCUACAUCAACUGUUACGGCUCUCCCCUCAACUACCACCACUUCGACCAUCGAUAACUUGCAUUUUGAUGGUUUUAUGGAUUCUCCUAACCAACUAAAUUUUCCGUAUGAUCAAGAAACUAAUGCCAAGAUUCAAGAAGCCCCUUUCUCCCAUAAACCUCAUCUUUUCAUGCUAGACACAACACUUCCUGUCCUUGAAGGAAUGUUCUCUCAAAACAUCAUCACAAACAAUAACAACAAUAACAAUGAUUAUGACACACAAUCAGGAGGAAGAGGAAGUGUCUUCGAACAAUCAUUUUUGACACAUAACACGGAACAGGGAGAUAUGAACCUUCCUCAACAAGAACGGUUUCAAGUUCCUACGAUGGUGUCAAAUUUGUUCAGCAAUUCUACCAAUUCAAAUACCGAGACAGUUACAAGUUACAAACUACCGGCGUUGGUCGGGGGAAAUG
rnacentral:lncRNA from 1 species